AGCCCGGCGGGAGGGCUCCGGUAGAGGCGCCGCGGAACCGCGCAGUGGCGCCGAGUGCUGGGCGCCAAGACCACAGACAUGUGAGAGACCCUGCCUACCCUGGAAGAUGUCACAGUCUUAACUUGAGUGCUGUUACAGACUUCUGUCUGCAGGAUCUGGGAGGCACCUGCUUCCACUUUCUCAUUCACUCAGCUCGUGAUAGCCGCACUCUGUCAAUCUGCUUCUUUCACCAAAUCAUUUAAAUGACUUUUUGUGUCAAAAUCCAAAAAAUAGUUUUUAAUUAUUUCUCCAUAGCAUCUGACACUGUGCCUCUCCUAAAAAUAAAAAUAAUACUUUUACUUGACCUGGGC
rnacentral:lncRNA from 1 species